rnacentral:pre_miRNA from 1 species
AUGCUACAGAAUCGAGGCUCACGAUGAUUUCCAAUCAUAGUAAACCUUGAUUUUGUAGCAU